CGCCUCUUGAAUAUUAUAAGAGGUCCAGCCUGCCCAGUGACUCUGUUCAACGGCCGCGGUAUCCUAACCGUGCGAAGGUAGCGUAAUCACUUGUUCUUUAAAUGAGGACUAGUAUGAAUGGCACCACGAAGGUUAUACUGUCUCCUUUCUUUAAUCAGUGAAACUAAUCUCUCCGUGAAGAAGCGGGGAUAUAAUUAUAAGACGAGAAGACCCUAUGGAGCUUUAAACGUAAGUAACAAUUGCCCGCCAUAAUAUUCUUCCCCGGAAAUUAACCAUAAUACUUAGGCAUCUUGAUUACAAGUUUUAGGUUGGGGUGACCGCGGAGCAGAGAAUAACCUCCGCAGUGAAUGGAACUUAUUUCCUAAACCCAGGGCUACGACCCUAAGCAUCAAUAAAUUGACACUAAUUGACCCAAUAUUUUGAUCAAUGAACCAAGUUACCCUAGGGAUAACAGCGCAAUCCACUUCAAGAGCCCCUAUCGACAAGUGGGUUUACGACCUCGAUGUUGGAUCAGGGUAUCCCAGUGGUGCAGCCGCUACUAAAGGUUCGUUUGUUCAACGAUUAAAACCCU
rnacentral:rRNA from 1 species